rnacentral:tRNA from 1 species
GUCGGCGUUGAUGGAAAUUGACGGAAAAUGUGAUUUGUAAUCAGAAGGUCGUGGGUUCGAUUCCUAUUGCCGGCACCA